GAUGAACGCUAGCUACAGGCUUAACACAUGCAAGUCGAGGGCAGCAUUUUAGUUGCUUGACAACUAAAGAUGGCGACCGGCGCACGGGUGAGUAACACGUAUCCAACCUGCCGAUAACUCAGGGAUAGCCUUUCGAAAGAAAGAUUAAUACCUGAUGGCAUAGGAUUAUCGCAUGAUAAUCCUAUUAAAGAAUUUCGGUUAUCGAUGGGGAUGCGUUCCAUUAGGUAGUAGGCGGGGUAACGGCCACCUAGCCAACGAUGGAUAGGGGUUCUGAGAGGAAGGUCCCCCACAUUGGAACUGAGACACGGCCCAAACUCCUACGGGAGGCAGCAGUAGGGAAUCUUCCACAAUGGACGAAAGUCUGAUGGAGCAACGCCGCGUGAAUGAAGAAGGCCUUCGGGUCGUAAAGCUCUGUCCUCAAGGAAGAUAAUGACGGUACUUGAGGAGGAAGCCCCGGCUAACUACGUG
rnacentral:rRNA from 1 species